rnacentral:tRNA from 5 species
GGGGGUAUAGCUCAGUUGGGAGAGCGAUACGUUCGCAACGUAUAGGUCAGGGGUUCGAAUCCCCUUACCUCCACCA